CAUGGUAAAUCGGGGACCUAACUGAAAACCGUGAUAAUUUAGAAAUUAUAUUUACAAUCACAAAUAGCGAGUUUAUUGUUGACCCCAGCAGGAGCAUUUGCCGUUUCUCUUUUGCUGGGUUUUGGAUUAAAUUCCCGCAACUUCUUCUUUUCUUCUUCUUUUUUGUUUAUUUUCUUAAAACUACGGGGUUGGUUUCAAUUUGAGGUGUGUGUUUCUGUUGACAUGUGUUUAUUUCUUGAACUGGCAAUGAAUUCGUUAGCAUUUCUAGCUCAUUUGUGACGAAUAUGGCAACCAAUAAAGUUUAGUUGCUAAAGCUGAAACUUGAUUUCAAUGUAGAUAGCAGCAUUCAUCUUUCUUUUGUUCAGGAUAAGCUCAAAUCAACUAGUUUACAACGACCCGAUGAAACCAUGUUUCUCUCUCUGUUUUUUUUUUCCUUCAUCUAGUUCUGUUGUGGACCGAAUUCAUUGUAAAAUGUGCACCGUUUCUUAUUCAAGAUGUUGCAGCAACUAUACUUUUAGAAUGUUGCUCCCAAGAGGUAUAUUUGUGUGAUUUUUGAUAAAUCUAUGGCAAUAUAGUGGCAGUGACUGAGCCAUGCAGCAUCGUCAAUCACCAUAACUGAUGCCUGAUGGGAUCAGUUAUGGUUUGGAAAUGACAUCAUGCUUUAGAUAUGUUCUUCUGCAAAACACAGAUCAUCAACACAUAGCCAGCAAACAACCCUGAAUCAAAUUCCUUUUUUAUUUGCUUCAAUUUAGUGGAAAUCAUGAUCAUGUAGGCCUUCUUCAACAUGUUAAUUUCCUUUUCUUGCCCUUUUUAGCUUCCCUGACAGGAUGUCUUCUAACAAUUUGAAAAUAAGCAGGCAUAAAAUGAAACAUCAAUAUGGUUAGGAUGAGACUCGCUGAUCAUCCUAUCAGAAGCUACAACUUGG